CCUGGCUCAGGACGAACGCUGGCGGCGUGCCUAACACAUGCAAGUCGAGCGGAGACAGUAAGUAGCUUGCUACGAGCUGUUUUAGCGGCGGACGGGUGAGUAACGCGUGAGCAACCUUUCCCAGACAGGGGAAUAACACACCGAAAGGUGUACUAAUACCGCAUAAGACCACGGAAUCACAUGGUUCUGAGGUAAAAGAUUUAUCGGUUUGGGGUGGGCUCGCGUCCGAUUAGGUAGUUGGUGAGGUAAUGGCCCACCAAGCCGACGAUCGGUAGCCGACCUGAGAGGGUGAUCGGCCACAUUGGGACUGAGACACGGCCCAAACUCCUACGGGAGGCAGCAGUGGGGAAUAUUGCACAAUGGGGGAAACCCUGAUGCAGCGACGCCGCGUGAGCGAAGAAGUAUUUCGGUAUGUAAAGCUCUAUCAGCAGGGAAGAAAACGACGGUACCUGACUAAGAAGCCCCGGCUAACUACGUGCCAGCAGCCGCGGUAAUACGUAGGGGGCAAGCGUUGUCCGGAAUAAUUGGGCGUAAAGGGCGCGUAGGCGGCUCGGUAAGUCUGGAGUGAAAGUCCUGCUUUUAAGGUGGGAAUUGCUUUGGAUACUGUCGGGCUUGAGUGCAGGAGAGGUUAGUGGAAUUCCCAGUGUAGCGGUGAAAUGCGUAGAGAUUGGGAGGAACACCAGUGGCGAAGGCGACUAACUGGACUGUAACUGACGCUGAGGCGCGAAAGUGUGGGGAGCAAACAGGAUUAGAUACCCUGGUAGUCCACACUGUAAACGAUGAAUGCUAGGUGUAGGGGGUAUCGACCCCUUCUGUGCCGCAGUCAACACAAUAAGCAUUCCGCCUGGGGAGUACGGCCGCAAGGUUGAAACUCAAAGGAAUUGACGGGGGCCCGCACAAGCAGCGGAGCAUGUGGUUUAAUUCGACGCAACGCGAAGAACCUUACCAGGUCUUGACAUCCACUUAAACUUACAGAGAUGUAAGGUGUGCUUGCACAAAGUGAGACAGGUGGUGCAUGGUUGUCGUCAGCUCGUGUCGUGAGAUGUUGGGUUAAGUCC
rnacentral:rRNA from 1 species